AUUCACCUAUUUCUAAUUAAUUACCAAUAGGUUUUCAAGGUACUGCAACAUUUAGGGACAAGUUUUGUUGUUGAUUGAUCCACAGGGUGUUACAGCCAAUUGAUGAGCAUUGGCGUUUGGUAAAUGGCCAAGGCGCCCCCUGCUGGCCAUUUCAGGGACAUCUUAAUCGUCUCUGUAGAUCUGUAUACGUUCCUGCUAAAUGCAUUACACCGAUUUUCAAUGAUACAAGACUACGUAGACACUUAGUACAUCAGUGAAAUUGCAGAUCGGCAACUUUUGCAAGUCUGUUGACAAUUAUGUCAUUAGGAUAGGAAAGUAUAAAACCACUCUGUGGAUAGUGUUGAAAACAAAUACUUCAUAUCUGAAUUCUGCCAUCUUUAUGCAACUUUGCCAUUUUACUUCUGAUAAUGGAAGAACAAUUGAAAGACAUUGCUGUAGUUCUUCUGAUGUUUGUCUAUUUGCUUGUCCCUUGCUGCUAGAAUUGCAAUCUGUAUUCCAAGAUCUGCAGCUUCAUGAAAAAUGUCAGCUGGAUUUCACAGUUUCCUUACUAGAUGCAGUGUUUGUGGGUGUACAUGAUGCUGUGCCUCCAAGGGCCUUCAAAAGGCACCUGCACAGAGGGCAUCAGCUUUCAGUGGGGCAUCCAACCGUUCAACUACAUGUGGGAGGUUGGCGUCGGACCUGA
rnacentral:lncRNA from 13 species